GGAGGGGUGGCCGAGUGGCUGAAGGCAGCGGUUUGCUAAACCGUCGUAGGGUUCAAAGCUCUACCGCGAGUUCGAAUCUCGCCCUCUCCG
rnacentral:tRNA from 1 species